rnacentral:lncRNA from 1 species
GAUUAUUUCUCACCAUAACUCCGAAUAGAUAUACACUGAGGAUAGUGUAAUUUAAGUCUGGGGGAAUGUUUACUGAUAUUAGUGUGUUCAUGAGUCUUAUAAAAAUGUUUUCAAAAGAUUUUUAUUGAGUCAAGAAGGGGAUAAUGAACUUUUUAGAUUUUUUCUUGUUAUCUAACCACUCUUUAGCACCAUUCUAGAUUUACUGAUUGGAGAUAAUACUAAAGAUACUAAAGUGGAUCAACUUGUCAACUACUCAUACUUGCUGAGAUUGUUUGAAGGAACCAAAGCUGACCUCCAACACUAAACCUGACACAACUGCUUGUCUUGGAGCUAAAGCCUUGUGUAAAUUUAUCACAUUUUCUCUCUCUAUUUCGACCCUAGAUUUAUAGGUAGAGAUAUUUAUUUUAAAAGAAAAAAACGAAAAAGAAAAAAAUAAAUUAAAUUUAGGUGUUAGUUAGGAGGAAUCCGAACAGGACUUGGUGGCUACAACCAUUAAGGCUUGCUUCAUAAGGACUCCUUCAAAAAAAAAAAAAGAAUUCGAACGGGACUUGGUGGCGGCAAUCAUCAAGGUUCGAUUCAUAUGAAUUCUUGGAUAUAGGUCAAAAAGAAGUGAACAUGACUUAGUGGCAACCACCAUUAAGGCUUGAUUCAUUGAAGCAUGUCUAAUCUUGGAAAAUGAACCUGCAAUAAGCAGACUUUGACUAAAGAGAGAAAUUAGAAGAGAGAAAAGAUAAAAACUAACUUUUACCUGCAGAUCCAGAUAUUUGUUGGAGAAUCCUUGCAUUUUGUGAUCGAUACUCCCAAGAUAAAGCCUG